CAGCAGCCGCGGGAAUACGGAGGGUGCAAGCGUUACUCGGAAUUACUGGGCGUAAAGCGUGCGUAGGUGGUGGUUUAAGUCCGUUGUGAAAGCCCUGGGCUCAACCUGGGAAUUGCAGUGGAUACUGGGUCACUAGAGUGUGGUAGAGGAUAGUGGAAUUUCCGGUGUAGCAGUGAAAUGCGUAGAGAUCGGAAGGAACAUCUGUGGCGAAGGCGACUAUCUGGGCCAACACUGACACUGAGGCACGAAAGCGUGGGGAGCAAACAGGAUUAGAUACCCCAGUAGUCCCUGUCUCUUAUAC
rnacentral:rRNA from 1 species